rnacentral:lncRNA from 1 species
CUAAUUCCUUACAUUCAAAAUACCAGUGUCAUGGAUUGUAAAUUUACACUAUGAGAGGAUGAAAAUUCACUGCCUUGUGCCACAUGGUAAAAAGUAUAUGCUAACUUGCAAAUGUUCUUAACGUGGAUUUUACAGAGAGGUUUAAUUAGCAGCAACAAAACCAGUGAACCUCACGUCUCCAAUUCCCAUAUGGUGCCUGUGGGACCCACAGAGUUGUUGACUCAUGGUCUCCCUCAGUCAGGAAUCUCUCCCUCAGAACAUUCAGACUGACAUUCCGCUGAGCAGACAAGCUUCCCUCCCCCUGGACUCCCCAAGGUCUCUCUAGCAGUUGUUUUCCUGUGGUUCGCUGCUCCCAGAGCGCCCCUCUUUUGUAGUCUACUUCCAACAUCUCCAAAGUAACCCCUUCUUGAUUUUUAUCCUAAGUAACAGAUAUUCUUAAUGAGCCCUUGCUCAUGCAUGGGAAGGAAAUUUCCCUGUUGCACCAGUGCUCAACUGAGAUUGCAAAGCUUUUAUCCAUCCCUGAAAUUAGAAAAACCGAAAUCUUUCAUCCAGGGUCACAGAGGCCUGUGUUUUCACUGGAGCAGACAGUCCAAUUUCAAGUGAAGGAUUAUUGUUUGGUGCUUUGUGAUAUCUUCAGAGAAGAUAUAACCCAACACAUUUAGCUGGGUUAUGCCUGCUAAGAGCACUACUAUCUUCCCUAUAGAUUUCAGACAGCAAAAGGGAUGUCAUCUUUGUGGAUGACUAUCACUGUAUUUGGAUUGAAGAGCAUGGCCUAAGUCAGGGGUAUGUAUGUGUGUGUGUGUAAUUUAGUUUUUAUUUAGCUUCCAUUUGGCUUAAGGUGAGAAGACUUCAUGUAUCUUUAGAAAUAUUGAUAUUUGAAAAUGACAUUUGGUCAUUUGACUAAGUUGAAACUAGGGCAACUAUUUUUUGAUCUAAAAUACUGCUUUAAAGAUAAAUUAUGUCUCCUCAUAGAGUUUUGUGUGUUUUCCAGAUGAUUUCUAAAAAUAGAAACAUCAUAGUUUUGUGUGUUUUCCAGAUAAUUUCUAAAAAAUAGAAACUCUGAUCAUAGAGUUUUUUGUUUUCCAGAUAAUUUUUAAAAAUAGAAACAUAAAAAGUGAUUGCAUCUUGAAAAAGAGAAUCGGUUGUCCCAAAGCAAAUGUUUUUCAAUAAAAAGAUAUUUUUUAUCUCUUUCUAAAAUGCAAGUGAAAGUCACUCAGUCAUGUCCAACUCUUUGCGACCCCAUGAACUAUACAGUCCAUGGAAUUCUCCUGGCCAGAAUACUGGAGAGGGUAGCCUUUCCCUUCUCUAGGGGAUCUUCCCAACCCAGGGAUCGAACCCAGGUCUCCCACAUUGCGAACAGAUUCUUUACCAGUUGAGCCAUAAGGGAAACCCUCUAAAAUGCAAGCAUUCUACUAUAACAUGCUUUUGUAUGCGCUGUGCAGGUAAAUUGCUUCUCUGGGGGAAAAGAAGGCCCAGACUUAUAGCAUUUGCUGACUUCCCUAUUGAAGAUACUUCUACUAUGGCUAGUUUCAAGCUGCUUAUAAUUUAACAACUGGCUCACCAAAUUCUUGAAAAUUCAGCAAUCAGCUUUAGGGAGUACUUAGGAGUAGGUUUCAGCAUGCUUACAAAAAUACUUAUUCUCUUUCUUUAGAAAAGUGUGAAUGCGAGACCUAUCUUGGUUAACUUUAAAACUGUUUGAAUUUUCUUCUUUCAGUUUAUUUUUAUUACUUGUCAGGUCUUAGUCAGUUUCUGUUAAUCUAACAGGGACAGGGAAGUACCUUUCUGAUUAUGUGGAAAGUGAAUGAAGUACUGGAAUAGCUAUGACCUUUGGAUGGUCCAAUAACUUGUUAAAUUAAUAGCACCUGGUCUAAAUGCACAAUCGAUAUCACCCUGAUCUUUUCCCCAGUUCUCAUGACUUCAAGGAAUUUCCUCUUUAUCUAGGCUAGACUCAGCAUCAGCAUAACACAGUUUCACUGACACAGAAAAAAAAAAUCACUAACUAAAUUUGGGAAUUGAAUGCAGUAUUUUCUCAUUUUUAAUAUUCUAUCAGUUAUAAAAUAUACUCUUGACUUAUUAUGAGUUCU